UGGGGAAUUUUGGACAAUGGGGGAAACCCUGAUCCAGCCAUCCCGCGUGUGCGAUGAAGGCCUUCGGGUUGUAAAGCACUUUUGGCAGGAAAGAAACGUCAUGGGUUAAUACCCCGUGAAACUGACGGUACCUGCAGAAUAAGCACCGGCUAACUACGUGCCAGCAGCCGCGGUAAUACGUAGGGUGCAAGCGUUAAUCGGAAUUACUGGGCGUAAAGCGUGCGCAGGCGGUUCGGAAAGAAAGAUGUGAAAUCACAGAGCUCAACUUUGGAACUGCAUUUUUAACUACCGGGUUAGAGUGUGUCAGAGGGAGGUGGAAUUCCGCGUGUAGCAGUGAAAUGCGUAGAUAUGCGGAGGAACACCGAUGGCGAAGGCAGCCUCCUGGGAUAACACUGACGCUCAUGCACGAAAGCGUGGGGAGCAAACAGG
rnacentral:rRNA from 1 species